UACGGGGGGGGCAAGCGUUGUUCGGAAUUACUGGGCGUAAAGGGUGCGUAGGCGGUCUGUUAAGUUGGAUGUGAAAACUCUGGGCUCAACCCAGAGCCUGCAUCCAAAACUGGCAGGCUAGAGUUCUGGAGGGGGUAGCGGAAUUCCUGGUGUAGCGGUGAAAUGCGUAGAGAUCCGGAAGAACACCGGUGGCGAAGGCGGCCCGCUGGGCAACUGCUGACACUGAGGCGCGACAGCGUGGGGAGCAAACAGG
rnacentral:rRNA from 1 species